AUGAUUCAUUGUAGCACCUUUCUGGUGUUCACUUAGAAACAAGCUGGCUUUGUUGGCCUAAUACUUAAGAAAAUUGCUAAGAGGAUUAUUGCAGCUUGAAGAAGCUUACACGAAACAAGGGUUCAGUAAGAACCUUCUUGGAUAUUUGGAUUAUUGGCUGCGUCUUUUGACAGACAUUAAUCAUCUGGAGUACUACACCAGGAUUCCAUGGAAUGAAUUGAAAAUUUUACCACAAAAUGAAAAAAGGACUCUUGGUGUCAAUGCUUCCUUUUUGUACUAAGGACUGAAUGUUAGGGUUGCUUUGGUGAAAUUUAUGAUGGUGAAAUUUAUAUAUGAGUGUGUUAAUUUAUGUUGAUUUUGUAUAAUUUACUAAUAGAAGCUGGUUUUCACGGUGG